rnacentral:rRNA from 1 species
CGAACGGUAACAGGUCUUCGGACGCUGACGAGUGGCGAACGGGUGAGCAAUACAUCGGAACGUGCCCAGUCGUGGGGGAUAACUACUCGAAAGAGUAGCUAAUACCGCAUACGAUCUGAGGAUGAAAGCGGGGGACCUUCGGGCCUCGCGCGAUUGGAGCGGCCGAUGGCAGAUUAGGUAGUUGGUGGGAUAAAAGCUUACCAAGCCGACGAUCUGUAGCUGGUCUGAGAGGACGACCAGCCACACUGGGACUGAGACACGGCCCAGACUCCUACGGGAGGCAGCAGUGGGGAAUUUUGGACAAUGGGCGAAAGCCUGAUCCAGCAAUGCCGCGUGCAGGAUGAAGGCCUUCGGGUUGUAAACUGCUUUUGUACGGAACGAAAAAGCUUCUCCUAAUACGAGAGGCCCAUGACGGUACCGUAAGAAUAAGCACCGGCUAACUACGUGCCAGCAGCCGCGGUAAUACGUAGGGUGCGAGCGUUAAUCGGAAUUACUGGGCGUAAAGCGUGCGCAGGCGGUUAUGUAAGACAGAUGUGAAAUCCCCGGGCUCAACCUGGGAACUGCAUUUGUGACUGCAUGGCUAGAGUACGGUAGAGGGGGAUGGAAUUCCGCGUGUAGCAGUGAAAUGCGUAGAUAUGCGGAGGAACACCGAUGGCGAAGGCAA